GCUACAGGAGCUGCCACCGUGCGCGCACCCGCUCAGCUCAGACCUGACAAGCGAAGCGGUCAGAUCGGUGGGUGAUAUCUGCGUGGCUUUUCAACGAUAGUGACAACUGAGGAACACCGAGGGCCUGACGCAGCGUGGUGGCUUUAUUUCUGCUGGACAGGUCACCUUCAGAUUUGGAGUCUUUAAUAGCCCCGCUGUACUUCUCACCAGUAUAGGCUGAUAGGCGGACCACGCUGGUUGACCUGGAUUACAACCACUGUGUCCACAGUCCAGGCCAGGACAAAAGCUGAUGACACAGUUCAGUACAGCAAGGUGUACAACAAAAAGUCCAGGAAGUGGAGCUUGUACUCAUUGAAGGUGA